UUUCUUUUGUAUUUUUGCAGAGGUUUUGGCUUCGUGACGUUUGCUGAUCCCACUAGUGUAGAUAAAGUGUUAGCUAGCGGAACCCACGAACUAGAUGGUAAAAAGAUCGACCCCAAAGUUGCCUUUCCAAAACGGGCACACCCAAAGUUUCCAUUACUACCAGCACUCCCUGAAGUCCAAGGUUUUCUGGUGCUACUGAGCAAGUCACUUCUAUAAUAUUUAGUAUAUUGUAAAUUUAUUUUUGUUUGUAACGGACAGGAUUUUACCGCUGAUUAAAAAGAGUAGCCCCUUUUAGCAGAUAAAUAAAAUAAAAAUGAAAUAAAAAAAAAUCUGAAAGGUUUCAGGUUUUAAAUUACGUCCAA